rnacentral:rRNA from 1 species
AAUCAACGCUGGCGGCGUGCCUAACACAUGCAAGUCGAACGCGAAAGGGGAGCAAUCCCUGAGUAGAGUGGCAAACGGGUGAGUAACACGUGGGUGACCUGCCUUCGAGUGGGGGAGUAACGUCCCGAAAGGGACGCUAAUACCGCAUGACAUCCUGCUCUUGGAAGAGCGGAGAUCAAAGCCGGGGAUCGCAAGACCUGGCGCUUGAAGAGGGGCCCGCGCCUGAUAGCUAGUUGGUAGGGUAACGGCCUACCAAGGCAACGAUCAGUAUCCGGCCUGAGAGGGCGGACGGACACACUGGGACUGAGACACGGCCCAGACUCCUACGGGAGGCAGCAGUGGGAAUUGUUCGCAAUGGGCGCAAGCCUGACGACGCAACGCCGCGUGGAGGACGAAGAUCUUCGGGUCGUAAACUCCUGUCGAGUGGGAAGAAUGGAUCAGGGGCGAAU